GUUAACCCCUGUCCUGCUGCCCCCCGACCCCCCCAGAAUUGCAGCCAGCUGAUCCAGACGAUUGAGGACGCAGGCGCCAUCCAGCGGGAGAUCCGGGACCUGGAGGAGCAGAUCGAGAGCGAGGGGGCCAAGAAGACUUUGGCCAACCUGGAGCGGAUCCUGAGCGACUACCGGGCCCUGCGGCAGGAGAACGCGGCGCUGCUGGGGAGGAGCAGGGACCCCUAAAACUGCUGCAUAUAACACACCCCUCCCCCCCUGCGGGGCCCCCUGAUUCUCCACUGCCCCCAUCCCCAGCUGCCGGGGUGGAUCCCCGUUUCUCCCCCGCCCCCAAGCAGCAGCUGAGUCGGCACUGGAUUUUGCUCCCUUUAUUCUCCCCCAGCCCGGGGCCGAGGCGGCUGGGGCUGGGGUGCAGCGUCCCUCCCCCCUUCCCCUGCUGGAACGAGGCCAAUAAAGUCCCAGGUUUUGCAGACA